rnacentral:tRNA from 1 species
GGCUAGAUAGCUCAGUCGGUAGAGCACCGGAAUGACAAUCCGGAGGUCGCAGGUUCAAGCCCCACUCCAGUCA